rnacentral:rRNA from 1 species
CCUACGGGGUGCAGCAGUGAGGAAUAUUGGUCAAUGGGCGAGAGCCUGAACCAGCCAAGUCGCGUGAAGGAUGACGGCCCUACGGGUUGUAAACUUCUUUUGUCAGGGAGCAAUUGGGUCCACGCGUGGGCUUAGCGAGAGUACCUGAAGAAAAAGCAUCGGCUAACUCCGUGCCAGCAGCCGCGGUAAUACGGAGGAUGCGAGCGUUAUCCGGAUUUAUUGGGUUUAAAGGGUGCGUAGGCGGAAUAUCAAGUCAGCGGUAAAAAUUCGGGGCUCAACCCCGUCGUGCCGUUGAAACUGAUGGUCUUGAGUGGGCGGGAAGUAUGCGGAAUGCGUGGUGUAGCGGUGAAAUGCAUAGAUAUCACGCAGAACUCCGAUUGCGAAGGCAGCAUACCGGCGCCCAACUGACGCUGAAGCACGAAAGCGUGGGUAUCGAACAGGAUUAGAUACCCGGGUAGUC